UACGGGGGGAGCAAGCGUUGUUCGGAUUUACUGGGCGUAAAGGGCGCGUAGGCGGUCAGCACAAGUCAGUUGUGAAAUCUCCGGGCUUAACCCGGAAAGGUCAACUGAUACUGUGCGACUAGAGUGCGGAAGGGGCAACUGGAAUUCUCGGUGUAGCGGUGAAAUGCGUAGAUAUCGAGAGGAACACCUGCGGCGAAGGCGGGUUGCUGGGCCGACACUGACGCUGAUGCGCGAAAGCCAGGGGAGCGAAGCGGG
rnacentral:rRNA from 1 species